UUUUACACUUGAUUUUUGGAGAGAGGAUUCCCAACCUUUUCACAUCUUCCUCCAUGCUGCCAUAACCCAAAGUUACCACCUUGUUAUCUGGUCUUGGAGACCAAUUGGAAACUCUGAACAUGAGGAUAGUAAAGUUGUGGGUCCUUCUAGUUGUGGCAUGUGGGAUGCUGCCUCAAUGUGGACUGAUGAGUGGUACCAUGUCCGCACCCAGGAUCUGAAUCAGUGAAACCCUGGCCCGCUGAAGCUGAGUGCAGGAACUUAACCACUCCACUAGGGGGCUGGCCCCCACUCAAUCAAAUUUUGAUCAAGAUUUCUUUAGAUAAUAUUGUUGAACAAUGAAAGUCUCUUUUAUUGCUUUUUCCUAUGUACCAGGUAGUUUUUCAGGCACUUUAAAUGUAUUAUCUAUUAAAUGUAAAAUCCUCACCAUAACCCGGAGACAACCAUUAUUAUUCUCAUUUUUAUCCUGAGGCUCAGAGAAGGUUUAUAUUGGUCUUAGUACAGUUGACAUAGUUACUUGCUUUAGUAUACUUGGUUUUAGUAUGCUGAUUAUGCUUGUUUUAGUAUAUUUAGCAAGUAGUAAAAGCUUAAUUCAACCCCAGUUUCUCUGGUCCUCAUAUCUAUGAUCUGUCUGUUCAUUUUUGCUGCCUCCUUUACUAUUCUUUCCUCACUUAAGCCAAUAGAUACAAGCACAAAAGUAGAAUAUUUGAAAGAACAUUUUUAAUGCUGUUUUUGGCUAUGUUUUCUCUUAAUAAUAUUAACGUAGUGUUUUUAUGAAUAUGUAUUUUAUUAUUCCCUUAAAGGCUUGUAAUUGGUUUUACGUUGGGUAUCUAUGCUGGUACUGUCAAUUCUUAAUGCAUAAAUUGAAACACCGAAAUUGAAAAACGAUUUAAUCAUUAAGCUGAGUUAUCCUUUUUUCAUCUUUCACUAUCUUUAUUUUCUGUCUAGUGAUAAAUGUGAAUGUAGAAUUUGUGACUGAAAGGUGGUGUCAGACAUUUAAUUUUAUUUCCUCAUAAACUUUCUUGGCAGAGAGAUUAAGCAUACCUUCCAAAGGAAUCAU
rnacentral:lncRNA from 1 species